CAAAAAGUAAAAUUGAAAAACAAAAAAAUCUCUAUUAAAAGUGAGUAGCAAUCCAAACUAACAUGGAUAUCAUACUUUUACAUAUGUUUGUUGAAUUAUCCAAUCAUGUCAUCUUAAAGUAGUGGAGGCGGAUCACGGCCAAUAUUCUCAAAGAUCAAAUCACACAUGAAUUCUUCAUCAGUCAAGCUCAUGAAUACUUUAGCCAGACUCACGUCCGAUCGAAAUACUUUCAUGACUUGCAUUAUGUCACGCUUCUCAAUGUUCAUGCUUUAUAAUUUUUGUAGAACCAAUUGUCAAUUGAUGUGAUUUAGCGUAUCUAACAUUGCUUGAAUCUCCAUAGCAUUAGCAAUUUUUUUUGACGAUUCAGCAAUGCUAGACAGGGCUAUGAGACUCUCAUCACUAGGUUGGCUACGUCGUUGUCGUCGAAUUUUGUUAGUUCCUCCGUCAACGUUACGCUUAGGAGCUUGGAUUGGGCUUGGAUCUCUAUCCUCGUUUUGAUCGUCAACUUCAUUCAAAUUUUCAUCUGAAAAAAGGAACUUUUUCAGAUCUAUAUAUUAA
rnacentral:lncRNA from 1 species